ACAGAUCAGUGGGGUGUUCCACAAAGCCGGUUUUAUCACAUAACCGGGUAAGUUAACCCAGGGUUUGCUUUAACCCUAGGUUUUCCGUUCCAAAAGGAUCACGGUAUGUUAGUUGCUAUAGCAACAUAUGCUCUGAAUCAAACCUGGUCGGACCAGGUUUUGCGCAGGUUAAGUUUGAAACAUAACCCGGUUUUGGGUAUUUCAACCGGCGUUCACCGCAGAUUUCAUGUGUUCACAAUGGCAUGCCCUUUUGAUGAGAGAACUGCUGAUAUCAGAGCGCAAAUUAUACGUGCAAUCCACCGGGAGCGAUUGAUAAGACCACGGCUCGACAUCUUGGCAUAUUGGAUGACUUUUUGCUGGAGUGGAGAGAUAUAGAUUCUCGCGCAAAUCUUUAAUAUAUUUAAAUAGCCUUGCAUAGCCAACACUACCAAUCGAGGACCUGGCCUCAGUUCACUCCAGACUAUUUGCGUAGCCCUCCGUUUUUUUCAAAUGGUAGUUUUAUCUAGGCUAUAGGCCUAAUGCUGGAGAUGCUGAGCACAUCACAGUCGUUUCAGAUGACCCAUCCAAGAUUUGUAUCGGCCUCCUAUCAUACAAAGAGCAAUAUUGUCUGAGUACUAUGCCGAGAGGCAUUUACAACAUAAAGUAUAAAAUAGUCCUAACGGACUUGCAUCCACUGGAGAAUGUUCGAUCGUAGCCGGCGGCUUCAUUACAAGCACUGAUCCAUCUUGAUCUGUGAAGUUGAUGAAUUGUCACUUUUAGUGUGGGGUAUGGCCCAUGACUCUCUGAGGUGGUAGGUACCUCCAGGUAGGCUACCCCCUCCAUGCCAGGGCGCCCUGAAUUUAUGUUUAUCAACAGCUCCUCCACCGGGGUCAAGACAAUUUGAGGGCCAGAUCCAGUCUGCCGACUGUCUGCCUUUUCACGAUUGGCUUAAAAAAAUGGCUUAUUUAAAUUUAUACCAAUACGAUGGUGGGAAAAGCUUACCAGUUUGUAUGUUUUUUAUAGGCCUACUUCAUUUUUAUACUUGAUCCUCUGACCGCUUGGAAGCAAUCGGAGUACAUAUUGUUUUAGAAGAAAGGGGUUAUGUGGUAGGAUCUUUAAGAAUGCUUAACUGGGAUAUUUAUAUAUUCAUGGCUCAAAUAUUAAGGAUCAUGCUUUUGACGUGUAACUAACGCAUUUACGCGGUCAGCGAUCCGCUGCCAGGCUUUGGUUCUCCGGGUUCCAGAGGUUUUAGCGUUCCCUUUUCUUGUGAUAAUGUCCUUCUCCUCGUCAUAGCUCUCCAGGAGAACCUGGAGUUCCAUUUCAUUGAAAUAAGCGGCCCGUUUCGCCAUAUCGAUCAGGGUUUCCAUGAUCCAUACAUCACGUCUUUUUAAGUUUGGCGUGGACGCGCACAACCCUGUGUUAACCAACCCCGAGUUGAUUGAACUAAUGCAUAACCGCUGCUGUGGAACCGAAAACUCUGGGUUGGUCGGCACAGGGUCAAUCAACCUA